rnacentral:rRNA from 1 species
UCCGUAGGGGGCAAGCGUUGUCCGGAUUUAUUGGGCGUAAAGAGCGUGUAGGCGGCCAGACAAGUGCGGUGUGAAAACUAGAGGCUUAACCUCUAGACGUCGAUGGAAACUGUUUGGCUAGAGUCCGGAAGAGGAGAAUGGAAUUCCUGGUGUAGCGGUGAAAUGCGCAGAUAUCAGGAGGAACACCGGUGGCGAAGGCGGUUCUCUGGGCCUGUACUGACGCUGAGGAGCGAAAGCGUGGGGAGCGAACAGG